GGCACUAUGGCCGAGCGGUCUAUGGCGCUGCACUCAAGUUGCAGUAUCGAAAGAUGCGUGGGUUCGAAUCCCACUGGUGUCA